rnacentral:rRNA from 1 species
UACGAGGGGAGCUAGCGUUAUUCGGAAUUACUGGGCGUAAAGCGCACGUAGGCGGCUUUGUAAGUCAGGGGUGAAAGCCUGGUGCUCAACACCAGAACUGCCCUUGAGACUGCAAGGCUUGAAUCCAGGAGAGGUGAGUGGAAUUCCGAGUGUAGAGGUGAAAUUCGUAGAUAUUCGGAAGAACACCAGUGGCGAAGGCGGCUCACUGGACUGGUAUUGACGCUGAGGUGCGAGAGCGUGGGGAGCAAAC